CCGCCGUAGCUCAGCGGCAGAGCGCCCGGCUGUAGGGACCGGGUGGUCGGGGGUUCAAGUCCCCCCGGCGGGAU
rnacentral:tRNA from 1 species